rnacentral:lncRNA from 1 species
UGUGAUAUCAUCUAUAGCUCUGCAGUUAGCAAUGUAAUAUUUGUUAUAACCCUAGAAAAUAACAGAUCUAAAACAAAACCCUAAAAUUAAAAAAAAAAUCAGGAUCUAACAGAUCAAAAUCAAAACAAUACCUGCACUGCAAGAGGUAGGAGGAUCCUUCUGGAGAUCCUUGAGUUCUUUCAAGAUCCGUUUCGAGGCCAUCAGGAAUUCCUAUAGUUUACAAAAGUAAAAACCCUAAUUUUGAAUCUGAACGUAUAAUAGAAGAUCGAAAGGGGAAGUUUUUUGUUUCAACACAUUUAUUAGUUUUUUGGUUUUAAGUUUUAACAUUGUAGAGGUUUAUUGUCAUUAUUUGUUAUACGCAGUUCUUAGAGGGAUUUCUGACGGGUUAGCUAGAGGAAAGAAACCUGAUGAAAUGGAGAAAUUGGUAAUUGAUCUAUUGAAGGCUCAUUUGAGACAUCCAUAGGCAUCAGAGGUUAACAACAAAGAUAUCAUAUCUCAUUUUGUUUUGCGUCUCGUGUAUUGUCGAUCGUAAUCUUUUGAACUUUUUGCCGUUUAUUUAUUUAUUUUUUAUUUUCUGCUUUGAUGUCUUAUGUAGAUUUGAACUGAUUGUGUUGAUGACUUCAAAUUCAUUAUUGUUUAUGUGGCUUUUGGUAUUGGAUGCUCUUUGUGU